rnacentral:lncRNA from 1 species
AUAUUAUAAAUCCAUAUUCAUUAACAAUAAACCAAACCAUAACUGUUUCUCUUUUCACCAGCCUACUAGUAUCCAUGGGGGUUCAUAGGGAUGUUCCCGCUAUACGUAAACCCUUUCCUUUAACAAUCUCAAUUACAAGGCCGUCCCCAUACCCCGUCCGAUGUGAAUGCCAAAACAUUAAACCUCAAUACCACGUCCGGUAUGAGGGUAAAGCGGGCCAUCCUCAUACUCCGUCCGGUAUGAGACAGCAUUCACGGUAGGGUUCCCUAUAUAUUCGGUUUGUCCACCA